GGGGGAGGAGCGGAGGAAGGAAGAGAAAAUGAGCUUUUUAAGGGCUUCGUUGAGAGAACCCGAAGAUUCGAGGUCUCCGAGCUCGCCGGCCGCUUGCUCCGUUUUCCCCGGGGGCGACGGAGGGGAUAAUUAGGGAAGAUGCCAUGAGGGUGAGAGGAGAGCGCGAUGCAGGGUAGGAGAAGGCGAGAGCGCGAUCCACGGGACGAGAAGGUGAACGAGCGAUGCACGGGAGAGCGGAGCUGGCUCUCUACGUUGGCUCAGCUGGCCGUGUGUUGACGGCAUGCAGACUUCUUGGCAAAUAGAAACUUGACGCGUGGCAUGUAACUGGAAGGGGCUGCCGCUUUCGGAUCGUUAGAAUUAUUAUCAUGCUAAAGAUCGCUAAUUUUGAUGCAUGCCUUGUUAGCGUAUGUAUUUAGAAGGCAUAGACUUGCAUCUAUUAGCAUCCAUCUUGGUGUAACCUUUGCACCAUAAAGUAAUUCUUUAUGUA